UAGGGAAUCUUUCACAAUGGAUGCACGUCUGAUGGAGCAACGCCGCGCGCGUGAAGAAGGUUUUCGGAUCGUAAAGCACUGUUGUUGGUGAAGAAGGAUAGAGGUAGUAACUGGCCUUUAUUUGACGGUAAUCAACCAGAAAGUCACGGCUAACUACGUGCCAGCAGCCGCGGUAAUACGUAGGUGGCAAGCGUUGUCCGGAUUUAUUGGGCGUAAAGCGAGCGCAGGCGGAAAAAUAAGUCUGAUGUGAAAGCCCUCGGCUUAACCGAGGAACUGCGUCGGAAACUGUUUUUCGUGAGUGCGGAAGAGGAGGAAGGAAUUCCAUGUGUAGCAGUGGAAUACAUAGAUGUAUGAAAGAACACCAGUAGCGAAGGCGACUCUCUGGUCUGCAACUGACGCUGAGGCUCGAAAGCAUGGGUAGCGAACAGG
rnacentral:rRNA from 1 species